GCGGGGGUAGCGAAGUCUGGAAAACGCGCAGGACUUAAGAUCCUGUCCCUUAGUGGGUUCGGGGGUUCAAAUCCCCUCCCCCGCA
rnacentral:tRNA from 3 species